AAUUUGGGUGGUGUCACUUUGUGCUGAUAAAUUGUUUGAUUGUUGUUGCAUGCUUAAUGUCAUGGAGUCAGUUUCACAAAAAAACUUACAACAAAGAUUGAUCUCAACAUGCUAUAUAUAUAUACGUCUGAGUCAGUGACAACUCUACAAUAAACAGAUUUAUCCAUCGGAUCACCCAGGUGGUCGUGUGGUCUAGCGGGAC
rnacentral:lncRNA from 1 species